rnacentral:rRNA from 1 species
UACGUAGGGUGCGAGCGUUGUCCGGAAUUAUUGGGCGUAAAGAGCUCGUAGGCGGUGUGUCACGUCGGCCGUGAAAACCUGCAGCUUAACUGUGGGCGUGCGGUCGAUACGGGCAUCACUGGAGUUCGGCAGGGGAGACUGGAAUUCCUGGUGUAGCGGUGAAAUGCGCAGAUAUCAGGAGGAACACCGGUGGCGAAGGCGGUGAUCUGGGCCGACACUGACGCUGUAGAGCGAAAGCGUGGGGAGCGAACAGG